CAUCAUACACCAGAGCCUGCAGCAGCAGUGUUUGCCCAGUUCCGGCUGGAGGCAGCAGAGCACGGGUCAGAGCCGGCCUUGGACCACUACCCUGGGGCAGCUCACAGCCUGCCCAGGAGCCUGCCCAGUUCGUCCCCGCUGCCUGAGCCCAGGAGAUCUGCAGAGAAGGAAGAAGACAGUAUGGGCAUGCAGGGCCCAGACCUGUGGACCCCUCCAGAUAGGUUCCACGCUAAAGCCCCUCCCUCAGGCAGGGGUGAAAACUGAGGUGGGGAGACUAGGAAGGGCGGAGUCAUAAGCCUAACAACACUUGAUGAGCAAAAUCUGACGCUCCCAAGUUUGUCAGACUCUUUCUUAUGGCAGAGGAAAGUAGAGAGAAGGGAGAACUGACUGUCCACUUGGUCAGGGCGUGUCACCAGGGCCCCUGGCCUAUGGAGUCUCACAUUAUCCUGGGGCCAGCCCUACUUGGCCACAGCAAAAGCAACCAGCCUCUUUUCUCCAUAUUAGAACUCAGGAGCUCACCAAUUCUCUAAGCAAAGCAAGAUCCCCAGGAAACCAGCUCUCUGAUGUCUUCUGAACUUUGCAGGUGCACUGUACCAUACACACACACACACUUAAACAAUAAAAGACCCCUCAAAGCUA